AGCUCCAGCCAGGGUUUAUUAGGGUCUGACGCUCCAGGGGUCUGGGGGUUAAAGACAAAGACAAAGGAGGGUUUAGGGUAUAAAUACAGGAAAAGAGGGGGUGGAGGAAAGCAUCAGGGAUCCAGUGGUCUGAGGGCUCAGGGGUGGUACACAGGGAAAGGGACUGAUGGGGCUCACCCCCAGAUUGGGGUGACCCUGGGAGCUGGUAAAGUCUCUCCUCCAACCCGUGCCUUCAAAGAAAGACUCAGUAGUCUUCAGUCAUCCGGUCUCAAGGUAGUUUAUUGCAUGUUGUCUCAAGGCACACACACUCCCUGACAUUUCCUCUGACUCCUUCUCCCUCUGUGUCUCUCUCUGUCUCUGUCUCUGUCUCUGUCUCUGUCUCUGUCCCUUUCCAUCUCUCUCCGUCUCUCUCGCCCAUGGGCUGGUGCCAUCUUUUAUAUCACACAUUACUUAUUAAAUGUUUAUAGUUUUUCCUCAAUGCCUAUCACCUAUAUUGAAAAGGGACUUUCUACUCUAAACCAAUCUGUGAGUGUAAACAUCACCAAGAACAUGGGGGAUAGGAAGAAGAAAGAAGGAGGACAGGGCACGCCCAAAUCCCUCCAUCUUAGAACUUCCGACCCCCAUGUACAAAACUCAGACCCCUCUGUACAAGGCCUAACCCCCCCCUGUACAGCACUCAAAAAUUCUUCCUUUCACUUUGUGACUACUUCUAUUAUAAUAUCUAAACUUUUGUGAUUUCUUGUUCUUCCAGCAAGGUUGGUAAGUUGUUCCAUGGAUCAAAUUCAAAACUACAGGGGUUCCUGGGUGCCUGCCAGGGUCUCAGAUGCUUCUGACCUGGACCCGGAACAUCCAAGAGUGUCUGAGGGACACCUUGGGUUCCAACACCUGCCCUGUGCCUCUGUCCCUGCAGGCUGUCCUCAUCCCCCAGCUGCCCCACCUCGCUGGCCCCUUCCUUUGCUGACAGCUCUGCCUCCUGCCUGCCUCUGCCUGGCCACACAAAGCCUUGGGCUGCUCCAGGCUCCUUCUGGGGAUGUGUUGCACCACAGCCCUGCCCUGGGAGGGAAAUUCCUUUCUCCUGGUGUCCAGUCUGGAUUUCACCAGUUGCAUUUCUGGUAUAAUUUCUCUCUCUGGCUGUUUCCCUCUAUGGAGAAAAGCUCCACCAUUUCUGAAUCCACCCUUCAAGCCCUGCCAGGCCACUCCUGAUCUGUUCUCAGUUUCUUCAUAACUGAGCCCAGGCACAUCAGCCUCCAUAUACGUGUUUGGUUCUUGAGGCCUACAAACCCAGCCUGGGAGAUCUCUGGGCCCUCUCAAGGUGUUUGCAAAUGAAAACAUUCUGCUCAUAUCACCAGAGGCCAAGGCCAGGCAGAACUGUCUGUCCUGGCAGCUUUUGUGUGGCAGCAAUCCUAGGAUAGAUGGAAAUUUGGCCGCCAAAUUCCAGUUUCUGCCACGGUCCCUGGACAAGAAGGUCAGUUCUGUUCUGUAGGAAGGAAGGCAGAGAGCCCCAGUGCUUCUGAGGCAGAUGAGAUGUGACCACCAGAGGCCAAGGCCAGGCAGAGCUGGCAGGAUUUUUCUGGCAGAUACCACUGCAUACAGGAAACUUUAUAGGGGAGAUACCAAUUUUGUCCAUGGCUGUCUGAAAAGAGGAACAGUUCUUUUCCAUAGCAAGGAAAGCACGGAGCCCCAGAGCUCCAGGAGCUGAUGAGAGGCAGCCCUUGGCAUUCCAACAUCAGCCAGACCUGUCAGGUGGCCCCUGGGAGGCCAAGCCAGCCAGACCUGUUCCAUCUUCCCUCGGUUCCAUGGGGCCCCACAGUGUCCCAAUGGUCCCUUGCUCCCAGGAGGCCCUGAGGUGUCACAAUGCCCCCUUGGUGACACGAGGCCCUGAAGGGUCCUCAUGGUCUCCAUGGUUCCAUCAGGCCCCACAGAGUCAUGAUGGUCUCUGGGUCCAUGAAGCCCCGCGGUGUCACCAUGGCCCCACAGUGUCACAAUGGUCUCCAUGGUUCCACCAGGUCCUCACAGCGUCACCGUGGUCUCCAUAGGAAGGGAACAACCCAGCCCCAGUGUUCCAGGGGCGGAUGAGCCGCAGCCACCAGAGGCCAAGGGCAGCCAGAUCAGAUGGUGCUGGCAGAUUUUGUCCUUGGAUAGAGGGAAUUUUAGAGGAGGAUUACCAGUUUCAGACCUGGUUGCCUGGAGGUGAAGGACGGUUCUUGUCCAUAGGAAGAAAAGCACAGAACACCGGUGUUUCAGGGCCAGAUGAAAAGAGGCCACCAGAGACCAAGGGCAGCCAGACCUCUGUGUCCAGGAAGGAAAGCACAAAGCCCAAGUGUUUCAGGGGCAGAAGAGGAGAGAGGUGGCUCCUGGGAGGCCAAGCCAGCCAGAGCUGUUUGUCCUGGCAGCUUUUGUCACUGAGAAAUCCUUGGAUCUAGGGAAUUCUGGAGGAACAUUCCCAACUUUGGCCAUGGGCAUCCGGUCGAGAUGGAUGGUUUUUCCCACAGGAAAGAAAAGCACAAAGCCCAGGUGUUUUGGAAGAAGAUGAGAGGUGGUCACCAUAGGCCAAGAGAGUCAGAUCUGUCUUUCCUGGCACCUUUCAUCUGGGGGAAAUCCUUGGAUGUACAUAGUUUUGGAGGUAGAAUCUCAGUUUUGGCCAUGGGCACCUGAGCAGGAAGAAGAGUUCUUUUCAUCAGGAAGGAAAGCACAAAGCCCCAGUGUUUCAAAGGCAGAUAAGAAUCAGCUCUUUGGAAACCAAGCCCAGCCAGACUUGCCUCUCCUGGAAGCUUUCAUUUGGGAGAAAUCCUUGGAUAUAGGGAAUCCUGGAGGCGGAUUCCCAACUUUGGCCAUGGGUGCCUGGAUGUGGAAGGUGCUUUUUCCCAUAAGAAAGAAAAGCACAGGGUCCCAGUGUCUCAAAGGCAGAUGAGAGGUGGCCCCCGGGUGGCCAAGCCAGCCAGACCUGUCUGUCCUGGCAGAUUUCAUCUGGGAACAAUCUUUGCAUAGAAGCAAAAUAAGAGGAGGAAUCCAAAUUUUGGCCAGGGGCACCUGGAGGAAUAGGACAGUUCUUUCCACAGGAAGGAGAGCACAGAGCCCCAGUGCCCCAGGGGCUGACAAGCAGCAGCCCUUGACAUGCCAAGGUCAGUUGGACCUGUCAGGUGGCCCCCAGGUGGCCCAGCCAGCCAGGCCUUGAUGCCUUGAGAGGCCACCUAGAGCAGAGGCUGGACAGUGUGACAGGAAUAAAGGAGGGAUUUAUUGAAAAGGCCUUCAAAGGAUCCACCUUGGGCAGUACAAGGGCCUGGCUGAGGGUACACCCAGGAUGGACGACAGGUCACACGUUUGCACACUUUUAUAAGUUUUGGUUCAUUUCCAUAUUGGGGUUAAUUGUCCAAUUACACCUUCAGGUUUCGCAGUCCCACCCUCCCAGUCUGCUCUCCUCAAUUCGCUGUUGUUUUCACAUUUUGGGCCUGAAGCUGCAGCGGUGUCCUUGGUUCUCGGGCUGGAAAAGGAUUGUUUUGUCUGACUGCACUGUGAAGAGAACUUGCUGACAGUCUGUAUGAAGUUCAGAGUUACAGACUGAUGCAGUGCAGAAUCUGGAAAAUACGAAAGAUAAAACUUCAGGCACCAGCCUGUCUCACAUUCCCUUGGUUCCAUGGGGACCCACAGUGUCACAAUGGCUCCUCCGUGACACUCUGGCCUGCACCCGUGUCACCCCGGGCCCUCGGUUCCAUGGGAGUUUCACAAUGGUCUCCUCUGGUUCCACGAGGUCCCCAGAGUGUCACAACUGACCCAUGGCUCCAUGAGGUUUCCCAGUGUCACCGUGGUCGCUGUCAGAGGCUGGAUGAGAUCGAUGUCCCGAGACACCUUGGGUUGAGCUGUCAAUCAGUCACACAGCUGGGACAGCGCUAACCCAGCUCUGAACGCCCGAGCAAUCAGAAGUCCCAGCUGGGGGGAGGCCCACGAAGGCCCAGGGGCUUAAAACCAAGGAGCACAAGGUCAGCCCCUGCUAUGGACUCUGCCUUCCCCUGGGGUUUGUGUCUCAGCCACACUGGAACCCCAGGAGCUGGGAGCCACAGGUGUGUCUUUCUAUGGAGCUUCUGUCUUUCUGUCUCUCUCUCUCUUUCCUCUCCUUCUAAUGCUCUUUCUAUGGAACAUUUUUGGGUACCUGAACAACUGAAGUGUUUAAGGCUUUCCAGGCUAAAUGGGCUGAGUGAAUGAAGUUACUGCUACGACAAGUGUUUUACGUUGGAUUGGAUGUUGUAUUAAAUGCUUUUCCA